rnacentral:rRNA from 1 species
AGAGUAGGCGGCAUGGUAAGUUAGAUGUGAAAGCCCGAGGCUUAACCUCGGGAUUGCAUUUAAAACUAUCAAGCUAGAGUACAGGAGAGGUAAGUGGAAUUCCUAGUGUAGCGGUGAAAUGCGUAGAUAUUAGGAAGAACACCAGUGGCGAAGGCGACUUACUGGACUGAAACUGACGCUGAGGCUCGAAAGCGUGGGGAGCGAACA